rnacentral:lncRNA from 10 species
UUGGGAAGUCUCUACUGGAUAGGUAGUAAAAAUGGGAGGCUUUAAGAACUGAGGCUGUAGGUUCAGAAGAUAAUAGAAAUGGAGAGAAGGAAAACAGGCAGUAAGACAUUGAUGUUUUGACCCCUAAUCUAUGGGUUGAUGUCUUGGAGGGGGUCAAGGAGUGUACUGGAUAGUUUGAGAGGAACCAUUUCUAUGUAUAAUGCUGAUGUGGUGACAAACAUCUAAGUUGACACCGCGGCCUGGGAUGGCAGCUCCUUAGAGCCCUCCAGCUCUCGUAAGGAAUCCAGAAGUUCCCACAUGCCCUGUGGAGAGCUAGGGGGAGCUGGCUGAUGGUGCUGACUGGCCAGCCAGCAGAGAGUGUCACAGUGGCUCAAGAGAAGGGAUCCUGCAGCUCUGCUAUACUAGGUAGCACAUUCAGGUUUAGGAUGAAAAAAGUGUCUGGCAAUUCUCCAGAGAAACCAAAGCAAAAGAGAACUAGGAUGGAGCCUGACUGGCUGAUGGAUUAUUAACAGUUACCAGGUGCAGAGAACCAGCAGAUGCUGGGAGCUGUAGCAGUGAUUAAGGCAAAAAAUACCACUGCUGCAGAGGACAGUGAGGAUCCUAUAAGCUCCUCCAUAAACCAAAGUCCCUCUGUAUAAAGAGAAGGGAAACAGCCAUAAAACAACAUUGAAAAUCAACAAGCUGAGCUAUUCAGAAACAGUCUAUUGAAACACAGAAGUUACCACAUGACUACUUGCUAAGUUUAAAGUUUAAUUUUCAAUGCUCCAGAGGGUAGAUGGUGAGGGGCAGGGUUGAGAACAGUGAGGGUAGUAACAGCAGUUACAGAUAAUAAAAAUGCACAUGUUAGUGUGUCUGGCGAGUGACUUCCCUACAUAUAUUUUUUCAUAAGCAAGUUUUUCUUUUAAAAUUUUAUGAAGUUAAUUAUAGGUAUCUUUUCACAUUUCAGCUUCUGAUAAAGUCUUGGUCAUAAGAAAACAGUGAGGAAAUCUCUUCUUUUGUGAUCCCUAAAGACUAAAACUCAACACAUACAAGAUGGGACUCAUUUUCUCUUCCUUCAUUCUACUCUGCCAUUUUUUCUGUAUUAUCAUCUGCAUUUUCUCAAAUCACAAGGACUGGAAAACUUUUGUUAUCAAGUCAGAAUUCUACAUUUCUCAUGCCUCCCUAUCUGUAAUGAAGUUCCAGAAUAGCACAAAAGCUAAGAGCACCAGCUCUGGAAUCAAACUGCCUGGGUUCAAAUCUCAGUUCCCCUGCUUCACAGCUGUGUGGUCUUGGGCCCCAGUUAUCUCUCUGUGAAACAGAACCUUCUCUUAGGCUUGCCAUGAGGGUAAGAUUAAAUAAUGCAUGUGAAGCCCUUGACACAGAGUAGUCGCCUAAUAAAUUAGAACUACUAUCCUACUUAACUCCCAAACUUCUCAAAUCUCCAUUCCCUCUUGUACUAACAUAACAAGAACUUUGGUCUCACACAUAACCUUUUCACUGGUUCCAUCUUUCGUCAUCUUAACCACCUACUUAUCAGUCUACAGCUUCUCAUUUCUAACUGAAGAGCCUCCCAAUUUUUCCUUUUUUUUUUUUUUUUUUUUUUUUACAAUUCAAGAGUCCUCAUGGCAGGGUCACAAUGUCCUUUUUCAAAUUUCUUUACUACAGCCUAUUGCCUGUAACUUCAAUACAAUUUCUAAUAUUUGCUUUCUUCCAACCAUGCUGACUAAUUUGCCCAUAUUCUUGAAUUUAUUCUUAUAUGUUCUCCCUGCCAAUAUCUCCCUACCUCUACCCAUAUGGUACCCAUUUCAUGUAGGAGCUCAAAUGCCGCUUAAGUCUUUACAUCCCUCAUCGUCUGGGAGUUUGUUUUCCCACCUGUAAUUCCCAUAAUUAACCUGUCUUUCACUUAGGAUGCUCGUCAACUUUCUCCCUUUCAUUAAACUUGCUCAUGUACCUAAUUCAUCUUCCUUAUGUACUUACAAACUACUUUGGAGAAGAAACCAUUUCUUUUCAUAUAUGUAUACUCCAUGUUAAUAUUCAUCGAAAAUGUAAAUGGGCAACAUUUUAAAGAAUGAAGAAACUAAAGAAGUAAAUAAACAAUGAAUGAAUAAAUGAAUUAAUGAGCUAUCAGACAAAAAUUAUUUCCCAGCAUGUGCUUCAUAAAUGGAGAAUAAAUUGGCAAGGCAAAACACCAAAAAAUUAUAAAAGAGAAUUAUUUUUUUUUUUUUGAGACAAAAUCUCACUCUGUUACCCAGGCUGGAGUGCAGUGGCUCAAUCUCCGCUCACUGCAAGCUCCACCUCCCAGGUUCACGCCAUUCUCCUGCGUCAGCUUCCCAAGUAGCUGGGACUACAGGCACCUGCCACCACGCCUGGUUAGUUUUUUGCAUUUUUAGUAGAGAUGGGGUUUCACCAUGUUAGCCAGGAUGGUUUCAAUCUGACCUCAUGAUCCGCCUGCCUCAGCUUCCCAAAGUGCUGGGAUUACAGGCAUGAGCCAACACCCCUGGUCAUAAAGGAG